rnacentral:rRNA from 1 species
AGCGAACGCUGGCGGCAGGCCUAACACAUGCAAGUCGAACGAACUCUUCGGAGUUAGUGGCGGACGGGUGAGUAACACGUGGGAACGUGCCUUUUGGUUAGGAAUAACUCAGGGAAACUUGUGCUAAUACCGAAUGUGCCCUUCGGGGGAAAGAUUUAUCGCCAUUAGAGCGGCCCGCGUCUGAUUAGCUAGUUGGUGAGGUAACGGCUCACCAAGGCGACGAUCAGUAGCUGGUCUGAGAGGAUGACCAGCCACACUGGGACUGAGACACGGCCCAGACUCCUACGGGAGGCAGCAGUGGGGAAUCUUGCGCAAUGGGCGAAAGCCUGACGCAGCCAUGCCGCGUGAAUGAUGAAGGUCUUAGGAUUGUAAAAUUCUUUCACCGGGGACGAUAAUGACGGUACCCGGAGAAGAAGCCCCGGCUAACUUCGUG